UGGGGAAUCUUGCACAAUGGGGGAAACCCUGAUGCAGCGACGCCGCGUGAACGAUGAAGCCCUUCGGGGUGUAAAGUUCUUUCGACAGGAACGAUAAUGACGGUACCUGGAGAAGAAGCUGCGGCUAACUACGUGCCAGCAGCCGCGGUAAUACGUAGGCAGCGAGCGUUGUUCGGAGUUACUGGGCGUAAAGAGUGCGUAGGCGGCGAGCCAAGUUUGGUGUGAAAUCUCCCGGCUUAACCGGGAGGGUGCGCCGAAAACUGGUUGGCUGGAGUAUGGGAGAGGAAAGCGGAAUUCCUGGUGUAGCGGUGAAAUGCGUAGACAUCAGGAGGAACACCUGCGGUGUAGACAGCUUUCUGGACCAAAACUGACGCUGAGGCACGAAAGCGUGGGUAGCAAACA
rnacentral:rRNA from 1 species